rnacentral:rRNA from 1 species
UAUGUGAUCGUCUCUCGCAUAUCAAUAAGCGGAGGAAAAGAAACUAACAAGGAUUCCCCUAGUAACGGCGAGUGAAGCGGGAAGAGCUCAAAUUUGAAUCUUAAAGGGUUUCCCUUUACGAAUUGUAGUUUAAAGAAGUGUUUUCUGUUGAGGUUUUGGUAAAAGUUCUUUGGAAUAGGACAUCAUAGAGGGUGAGAAUCCCGUAUUUGACCUUUACUUUCAACUUUGUGAUACACUUUCAAAGAGUCGGAUUGUUUGGGAAUGCAGUCCAAAAUGGGUGGUAAAUUUCAUCUAAAGCUAAAUAUUGGCGAGAGACCGAUAGCGAACAAGUACCGUGAGGGAAAGAUGAAAAGAACUUUGAAAAGAGAGUUAAACAGUACGUGAAAUUGUCAAAAGGGAAGCGUUUGACACCAGUGUUGUUUUUCUGAAAAUCAAUUAAAGAACUGUUUAUGCUAAGCUGUUUAGACUUUAUCAGCUAAUCUGUUUAGUUUUGAGCUUUUCUUUAAUGCACUUUUCAGUUAACAAGUCAACAUCAAUUUCUUUUGCUGUAAAAAAGCUUGAGGAAGGUGGCUUGAGAUUCGUCUUAAGUGUUUAUAGCCUCUUGCCUAUGCAGUCGGAGAGAUUGAGGUCUGCAGCGUAGAUCCUUCGGGGCUAAAUGCAUUUGUGCUAAGUUAUAGCAUUUUAUAGACAACUUGUUGACUAUGAUUUGUCUUGUAGCUUACUCGCUUAUGUUAUUUUACCUACGCUUAGGAUGUUGAGUAGCGACAUACGCAC